UCGGGGCCGGCGAGGGUGGGACCCCAGUGCCGGGGCGGCCAGGCUGUGAGCCCGGGCGGGCAGAGAGGAGGACAGAGAGGGCAGUCGGAAGGGCUCGGGCGCCUGCCCUGCAAGCUCCUCUCCAGCCCGCUGUCCUGUCCCCGAGAGGGGGAAAUGAUACCCUUCAGCUCAUUCACUCCCGCCGCUUCCCAGCAAGACCCGCCGGCCACCUAGGGAUCCACCCGGUCGGAGGAGCCUUGGGCCGGCGCCCUGCAGCACCCGGUCAUUGCCUUACAGCUUUGCGCUUCGCAGACGGCGAGAGCUGCACUGGCCGUCAGGACCGAGGCUUCAGGGCCUCUGGGUGGAGGGCUUCCUUCCUGCCCUCGAUCCCUACUCAGCCCGGGAGCGCCUCCCAGGGGGGUGUAGAACCUGGGACCGCAGAGGGUGAGCGUGAGAGACUCAUGUGGAAGAUGCCUUCUGGUUGGCGGGUCUGUGAGCUUCUGGGGAUGGCAUCGAGGGCCGGCGAAAGGGGUACUGUCCUCUAGCGUAGGGCCACGGGACAAAGAGGACGGCCAGUGCGUCUGCGGCUUCUAGAUCUCUAGUGGGAAGAUGGUCGGCAGGAUUAGACUCAGCCGUGGGUCUGGGUACUCUCCAGGCGAUGCUACUGAGGAAAUAACUUCAUCUUCCAGACACUUUGUCCCAGAUUUAGGUCGUCAACAGCACUUAGAUGGACACCGAGCGCCAAGCACCUCAGCUGCACUUACAGCCUGGAGCCCUCAAGGGGCCUGGCGAUGGACCACCCAGGCUGUCUGCCAAGGGACUGCUGGAGUCUAGAAGUUUACCCCACCCCGACCUCCUUAAAUGGGAGACCAGGGGGAAGUCUGGGCCCAGCAUAGUACUGACCUCCCCAAUCAGAACUACUUUAAACCUCACGAGUUCUCGAUCCAGAUGGAGUGCUUUGAUGGCUCCCAGGUCCAGGUCCCUGGUUCCGCCUCUUCUGUGCUUCAUCCAGGGAUGCCCUGGCUUUUCACAGUUGCUACGCCAAUUCUAUUUUUAAAGUGGUUCAAAAUGACUUCCAAUCUUAUUAGGACAACCAGAUUGUUUUCUUCAUUUCCAAGCCUGUAAGUGAAGUGGAUCCACAAUUCUGCUUGGAAAGAUAACCCAUUCAAGUUGGAUGAAAAUGACAUCACAUCCACACCUGCAAAACCUAAAAUGUCUAAUAAAGCACAUUCCCGAGCCCGAACUUCAAUUUUAGGGCACAGCUGUAGAUGCAGGAUUGAUGCCAUCUGGUGUGAUUCUGCAGCAUAAGAUAAAUCUACCCGAGUGUGCCGUGCACUGGCUUUUCUGGGAAUGACAAGAUGCCAGGAUUUGUUUUUGGUUCCCUUGCAGGGGUGGAAAGUUGGAACUAGGGAGAUCCCAAGAGGAGGCUGACUUGAAGCUGGGAGUCCUUAUACGCGGCCUGUGUCUUACUAGUGUGCCUGUGAAGUCACUUGAACUUACCACGUCAGAAUCUUCAGACAGGACGUCUUUUCUUUCAGAUGUAAAUCCCCCUUGGAUGGCUGUCUCCGUAACAGAGUAGGAAGUUGGCAAACAGUGGCUCACUUAGGGCUUUGUUCUUUUUCCUGUAACUCACACUGACGUGCUUUGGAGGUGGGUGACUACUGGUGUUGGCUCCCAGCUCACAGAAAGUCAGGCUUCAGGUGACACCUUUGGCUUUUUCCUACAGCUCCCCACCAGAAGGGGAAGCCCAAGGGGGCAGCUGGCUGUGCAGUCUGAAUCCACUUCCUUUUGAAGAGCUUUCUCAGAUGCUCAACACUGGCCAGCCCCCUGUUACUGGCUGCUGCCAUCUGGAGAUGGCUCGAGCAAUGCCUUCAACCAAAAUCUGCCUUCUCUUGGUGAGGGGUGAUGGCAGCACAUCUCAAGUGGACAAGUAGCCAUCUGUGCCCUGGUGACAAAAUCCCAUUGUGAAGGAGCACAAUGCUCGAAAUGGAUUGAGACAGUGGCCCCUUCCCAGCUGGUAGAACUCCAGGCAGCCUGCUCAGCUGGAGUGAGGGCUGGGAAGAGGCCAGGUGUUCCCACGGGGCGUGGGCAGGCUUGCCCGUGUGGGCAUCUUCUGGGGGACAUGGUCUCUCUGUGGAGGCUGGAUAGAGCACGAAGCCUUGCUCUUCUGCAUUACCGUCACUGUGUCCUCCCUAACUCCUGUCAGUCGGACUUUAGUGGAAUCUAGGUUUGCAUAUUUGGUGCCCAAAAAAGACCAUCCCUUUUAUGCACCAGGGAGAUAGUCUAUGCAAAGAAAGUCUUCCUUGCUUCCUCUUAUGACUCUGCCACCAAGCUAGGAAUAUCCUGGGAGAAUCGCCUCUCGGAGCUGCUUCCACGAGCAGCCCACAUCCUGGCAGAGCAGCGGGAGAAGAAUCACUUCCCACACCCAAGGCUGUCCAGAGAACUUUCCGUGAUGAUAGCAACGUUCCCUAUCUGCAGUCUCCGAUAUGGUAACCACUAGUCACAUGUGGCUGGUGCACACUUGAAGUGACUGAGUAGGUAACUCUGAAAUUUUACUUAUGUCAAUAAGGAAAACUAACCACAUGGCGCCAGUGGCUCUGGUAUUGGACACACAGUCCACAUCCUGCACUUCCUUGUGUUGCAGAGAGGUGGGAGAGUGUGGCCAGGGCCGUGCUUGGAGUCCCUUGGCCUUCAUUGUCUCACCCUGCAGUGGACCUUGUUUCCCCGAGGAAGAGGAGAAGUGGUUCUUUGGAACUGAAUUCAAGAUGCUGACUUGACGUGUAUGUUGCCCACCCUCUUGGGAUUCAUGAAUGUUUUGGGAGUAGGUCUCAGGAUUGCUUUUGGUGACAAAGGACGAUAAAGAAACCACAGUGCAGGUUCCCCUCGCCCUCUUAGUACCCGUUGUGUGUUCCUAAGUCAGAGUGUUUCCACGGUUUAUUUUGAUCUAUUGUGCAGGUUUUUUUAAUUUUUGUAACAUUGUGACUUUUAAAUGAUUAUUCUGUGUAUGUUUUCCAAAAUACCUAGUGAUUUAUAUUUUUUAAAAAAGACUGUGAAAUAAAAUAUAAUACUUAUAUGUAA